rnacentral:rRNA from 1 species
AGCGAACGCUGGCGGCAGGCUUAACACAUGCAAGUCGAGCGGGCGUAGCAAUACGUCAGCGGCAGACGGGUGAGUAACGCGUGGGAACGUACCUUUUGGUUCGGAACAACACAGGGAAACUUGUGCUAAUACCGGAUAAGCCCUUACGGGGAAAGAUUUAUCGCCGAAAGAUCGGCCCGCGUCUGAUUAGCUAGUUGGUGAGGUAACGGCUCACCAAGGCGUCGAUCAGUAGCUGGUCUGAGAGGAUGAUCAGCCACAUUGGGACUGAGACACGGCCCAAACUCCUACGGGAGGCAGCAGUGGGGAAUAUUGGACAAUGGGGGCAACCCUGAUCCAGCCAUGCCGCGUGAGUGAUGAAGGCCCUAGGGUUGUAAAGCUCUUUUGUGCGGGAAGAUAAUGACGGUACCGCAAGAAUAAGCCCCGGCUAACUUCGUG